AUUGAACGCUGGCGGCAGGCCUAACACAUGCAAGUCGAACGAGUGGCGGACGGGUGAGUAAUGUCUGGGAAACUGCCUGAUGGAGGGGGAUAACUACUGGAAACGGUAGCUAAUACCGCAUACCAUCGGAUGUGCCCAGAUGGGAUUAGCUUGUAGGUGAGGUAACGGCUAACCUAGGCGACGAUCCCUAGAGUGUCUGAGAGGAUGACCAGCCACACGGGAACGGAGACACGGUCCAGACUCCUACGGGAGGCAGCAGUGGGGAAUAUUGCACAAGGGGCGCAAGCCUGAUGCAGCCAUGCCGCGUGUAUGAAGAAGGCCUUCGGGUUGUAAAGUACUUUCAGCGGGGAGGCGUUACCCGCAGAAGAAGCACCGGCUAACUCCGUGCCAGCAGCCGCGGUAAUUC
rnacentral:rRNA from 1 species